CCUACGGGUGGCAGCAGUGAGGAAUAUUGGUCAAUGGCCGGAAGGCUGAACCAGCCAUGCCGCGUGAAGGUCAGUGCUCUAUGGGCGUUAAACUUCUUUUGUGCGGGAGCAAUAAUGGUCACGUGUGGCCAGACGAGAGUACCGUACGAAUAAGCCUCGGCUAACUCCGUGCCAGCAGCCGCGGUCAUACGGGGGAUGCAAGCGUUAUCCGGAGUUAUUGGGUUUAAAGGGUGCGUAGGCUGGGAGGUAAGUCAGCGGGGAAAUGCCCCCGCUCAACGGGGUGACGUGCCAUUGAUACUGCCUUGCUGGAAUGCGGAUGCCGUGGGAGGAAUGUGUGGUGUAGCGGUGAAAUGCAUAGAUAUCGCACAGAACACCGAUUGCGAAGGCAUCACACGAAUCCGCGAUUGACGCUGAUGCACGAAAGCGUGGGUAUCAAACAGGAUUAGAUACCCGAGUAGUC
rnacentral:rRNA from 1 species